GGGGAUUUAGCUCAGAGGCAUAAGCACCUGCCUUGCAAGCAGGUGGUCGCGAGUUCGAUUCUGCCAGUACCGA
rfam:Cavia porcellus supercont2_28 genomic scaffold, whole genome shotgun sequence.